rnacentral:rRNA from 1 species
AUUCCUGUACUACGUAUAAUCAGAACUGUGGGGACGCAGGAGGAUAGGAAAACCGGAGAAUGGAAAUAUCCGGCUAAGUACAAAGGUGUGAGUGAUAGGCAAAUCCGUCACUAUAAGCUGAAGUACGAAUGGGAGCGAAGAAAAGUAGCGAAGUUUCUGAAUCCACACUGUCAAGAAAAGCCGCUAUUGCGUUAUACGUACCCGUACCGCAAACCGACACAGGUAGACGAGGAGAAAAUCCACAGACCGACGGGAGAAGUGUUGUUAAGGAACUCGGCAAAAUGACCCCGUAACUUAGGGAUAAGGGGAGCCAACGCAAGUUGGUCACAGAAAAGAGGCUCAAGCGACUGUUUAGCAAAAACAUAGGUCUAUGCGAAACCGUAAGGUGAUGUAUAUGGGCUGACACCUGCCCGGUGCUGGAAGGUCAAAAGGAGAGGUUAGCGUAAGCGAAGCUUUGAAUUCAAGCCCCAGUAAACGGCGGCCGUAACUAUAACGGUCCUAAGGUAGCGAAAUUCCUUGUCAGGUAAGUUCUGACCCGCACGAAAGGUGUAACGAUUUGAGCACUGUCUCGACAACACGCCCGGUGAAAUUGAAGAACCAGUGAAGAUACUGGUUACCCGCAACAGGACGGAAAGACCCCAUGGAGCUUUACUGCAGCUUAAUAUUGGGAUUCGGUAUUGUAUGUACAGGAUAGGAGGGAGACUAAGAAGCUAGCACGCCAGUGUUGGUGGAGUCGAUGGUGGGAUACCUCUCUUAUAAUACUGAAUUUCUAACCUACUUCCGUGAUCCGGAAGAGGGACAUUGUUAGGCGGGCAGUUUGACUGGGGCGGUCGCCUCCGAAAGAGUAACGGAGGCGCUCAAAGGUCUUCUCAGAAUGAUUGGAAACCAUUCAAAGAGUGUAAAGGCAAAAGAAGGCUUGACUGCGAGAGUGACAACUCGAGCAGGUACGAAAGUAGGACUUAGUGAUCCGGUGGUAACAAGUGGGAGUGCCAUCGCUUAACGGAUAAAAGCUACCCUGGGGAUAACAGGCUUAUCUCCCCCAAGAGUUCACAU